rnacentral:pre_miRNA from 1 species
AGCUUUUCGAAUCCGUGCAGAGAUUUCGUCAGACAUCAGCCGAUUAUGGCUGAUUAGACUUCCGAGAUAAGUGAAGCU